CGUAGGUAAUCUACCUUUGGAUGGGGAAUAACAACCGGAAACGGUUGCUAAUACCGCAUAAUGCAGCGGCACCUAAUGGUGACAGUUGUUAAAGCGGGGGAUCGAAAGACCUCGCGUCUAAAGAGGAGCCUGCGGCGGAUUAGCUAGUUGGCAGGGUAAUGGCCUACCAAGGCGACGAUCCGUAGCCGGCCUGAGAGGGCGGUCGGCCACACUGACACUGACAUACGGGUCAGACUCCUACGGGAGGCAGCAGUCGGGAAUUUUGGGCAAUGGGCGAAAGCCUGACCCAGCAACGCCGCGUGAAGGAUGAAAUCCCUCGGGAUGUAAACUUCGCAAGAACGGGAAGAAUAAGUCUGCGCGAAUAUCGCAGGCGAUGACGGUACCGUUUGUAAGCUCCGGCUAACUCCGUGCCAGCAGCCGCGGUAAUACGGGGGGAGCAAGCGUUGUUCGGAUUUACUGGGCGUAAAGGGCGCGUAGGCGGCCACUGCAAGUCAGUUGUGAAAUCUCCGGGCUUAACUCGGAAAGGUCAACUGAUACUGCAGGGCUAGAGUGCGGAAGGGGCAACUGGAAUUCUCGGUGUAGCGGUGAAAUGCGUAGAUAUCGAGAGGAACACCUGCGGC
rnacentral:rRNA from 1 species